CACCGGCCCGGCUCCGUCGGCACGGUCUCUGUUUUUUCGAGAGUUUUUGGGACGGUAGACAUGCCAGAUACCCAAAUUAAGGUCUAGAAGCACUACAAAAGUGGAAUUUUCAUAAUAUGUGUAUCUUGAGUUAAAUGAUUAACUCAAGAUACUAUAUUUUAAUUUUAUUACUGUAACCAAGAACUACAAUUUGAAUUUGCUAAUGUCAAACUUCGUUUUUGCAGCUCAGAUAAUGCAUGACUGUAUAUAAUAAUGACUCACACCCUCUAAACAGAAAACAGCCCAAAAAUCUGUCUCAUGGAGACACCAGAACAGGUUCUACAGGAGCUGGAAUCCAGAACAGUGUGGCAUCGUCACGUAAUCAGGAUGGGACCUACGAAAACAUUGAUUCCUUAAGGAACCAAGAUGGUGGGACGGUGCAGC